ACGCAAAACUUACCUGGGCUUGAACCGCUACUGACCAAGGGUAGAAAUAUCCUCUUCCCGCAAGGGACAGUAGUAGAGGUGCUGCAUGGCUGUCGUCAGCUCGUGCCGUGAGGUGUUGGGUUAAGUCCCGCAACGAGCGCAACCCUUACUCGUAGUUGCCACCCGCAAGGGGGAACUCUACGAGGACUGCUCCGGAUAACGGAGAGGAAGGUGGGGAUGACGUCAAGUCAGCACGGCCUUUAUGUCCAGGGCUACACACGUGUUACAAUGCAUGGUACAGACUGUUGCGAACCCGCGAGGGGGAGCUAAUCGGACAAAACCAUGCUCAGUUCGGAUUGCAGUCUGCAACUCGGCUGCAUGAAGCUGGAAUCGCUAGUAAUGGCGUAUCAGAUCGACGCCGUGAAUACGUUCCCGGGUCUUGUACACACCG
rnacentral:rRNA from 1 species